GGUAAACGCUGGCGGCGUGCAUAAAACAUGCAAGUCGAACGAGUGCCCGCAAGGGUGCUAGUGGCGAACGGCUGAGUAACACGUAAGUGACCUACCCCUUAGUGGGGAAUAACUGCUCGAAAGAGUGGCUAAUACCGCAUAUGCUCGCGGUUUCGGUAUUGCGAGUAAAGCAGCGAUGCGCUAAGGGAUGGGCUUGCGGCCGAUUAGCUAGUUGGUGGGGUAAAGGCCCACCAAGGCGAUGAUCGGUAGCUGGUCUGAGAGGAUGAUCAGCCAGACUGGGACUGCGACACGGCCCAGACUCCUACGGGAGGCAGCAGUUAGGAAUUUUGCGCAAUGGACGAAAGUCUGACGCAGCAACGCCGCGUGAGGGAAGAAGGCUCUCGGGUCGUAAACCUCUUUUCCAGGGGAAGAUAGUGACGGUACCCUGGGAAUAAGCCCCGGCUAACUACGUGCCAGCAGCCGCGGUAAUACGUAGGGGGCGAGCGUUGUCCGGAUUUAUUGGGCGUAAAGAGCGCGUAGGCGGCUUGCCAAGUCGUGCGUGAAAUGCUUCGGCUCAACCGGAGUACGUCGUGCGAUACUGGUAGGCUUGAGGCCGGUAGGGGGAAGUGGAAUUCCCGGUGUAGUGGUGGAAUGCGUAGAUAUCGGGAGGAACACCAGUGGCGAAGGCGGCUUCCUGGACCGGUCCUGACGCUGAGGCGCGAAAGCGUGGGGAGCGAACUGAAUUAGAUACUCAGGUAGUCCACGCUGUAAACAAUGGGUGCUAGGUGUCGGGGGUAUCGACCCCUCCGGUGCCGGAGCUAACGCAUUAAGCACCCCGCCUGGGGAGUACGGCCGCAAGGCUAA
rnacentral:rRNA from 1 species